rnacentral:rRNA from 1 species
GGACGAACGCUGGCGGCGUGCCUAAUACAUGCAAGUUGAGCGCUGAAGGUUGGUACUUGUACCAACUGGAUGAGCAGCGAACGGGUGAGUAACGCGUGGGGAAUCUGCCUUUGAGCGGGGGACAACAUUUGGAAACGAAUGCUAAUACCGCAUAAAAACUUUAAACACAAGUUUUAAGUUUGAAAGAUGCAAUUGCAUCACUCAAAGAUGAUCCCGCGUUGUAUUAGCUAGUUGGUGAGGUAAAGGCUCACCAAGGCGAUGAUACAUAGCCGACCUGAGAGGGUGAUCGGCCACAUUGGGACUGAGACACGGCCCAAACUCCUACGGGAGGCAGCAGUAGGGAAUCUUCGGCAAUGGACGAAAGUCUGACCGAGCAACGCCGCGUGAGUGAAGAAGGUUUUCGGAUCGUAAAACUCUGUUGGUAGAGAAGAACGUUGGUGAGAGUGGAAAGCUCAUCAAGUGACGGUAACUACCCAGAAAGGGACGGCUAACUACGUGCCAGCAGCCGCGGUAAUACGUAGGUCCCGAGCGUUGUCCGGAUUUAUUGGGCGUAAAGCGAGCGCAGGUGGUUUAUUAAGUCUGGUGUAAAAGGCAGUGGCUCAACCAUUGUAUGCAUUGGAAACUGGUAGACUUGAGUGCAGGAGAGGAGAGUGGAAUUCCAUGUGUAGCGGUGAAAUGCGUAGAUAUAUGGAGGAACACCGGUGGCGAAAGCGGCUCUCUGGCCUGUAACUGACACUGAGGCUCGAAAGCGUGGGGAGCAAACAGGAUUAGAUACCCUGGUAGUCCACGCCGUAAACGAUGAGUGCUAGAUGUAGGGAGCUAUAAGUUCUCUGUAUCGCAGCUAACGCAAUAAGCACUCCGC